rnacentral:rRNA from 1 species
CCCUUAGAUGUUCGGGGCCGCACGCGCGCUACACUGAAGGACUCAGCGUGUCUCUCCCCCUAUCCCGAAAGGGAUGGGCAACCCGUUGAACCUCCUUCGUGCUAGGGAUUGGGGUUUGCAAUUAUCCCCCAUGAACGAGGAAUUCCCAGUAAGCGCGAGUCAUCAGCUCGCGUUGAUUACGUCCCUGCCCUUUGUACACACCGCCCGUCGCUACUACCGAUUGGAUGGUUUAGUGAGACCCUCGGAUCGGUCCCGACUCGGGGUGGGCUUCUGCCCCGGUCGUGGUUUCGCCGAGAAGACGGUCAAACUUGACUAUCCAGAGGAAGUAAAAGUCGUAACA